AUGCAGCGGCACCACAUGGUGACAGUUGUUAAAGCGGGGGAUCGCAAGACCUCGCGUCUGAAGAGGAGCCUGCGGCGGAUUAGCUAGUUGGUAGGGUAACGGCUUACCAAGGCGAUGAUCCGUAGCCGGCCUGAGAGGGCGGUCGGCCACACUGACACUGACAUACGGGUCAGACUCCUACGGGAGGCAGCAGUCGGGAAUUUUGGGCAAUGGGCGAAAGCCUGACCCAGCAACGCCGCGUGAAGGAUGAAAUCCCUCGGGAUGUAAACUUCGCAAGAACGGGAAGAAUAAGUAAGAGCUAACAUCUCUUAUGAUGACGGUACUGUUUGUAAGCUCCGGCUAACUCCGUGCCAGCAGCCGCGGUAAUACGGGGGGAGCAAGCGUUGUUCGGAUUUACUGGGCGUAAAGGGCGCGUAGGCGGCCACCGCAAGUCGACUGUGAAAUCUCCGGGCUUAACCCGGAACGGUCAGCCGAUACUGCGGGGCUAGAGUGCAGAAGGGGCAACUGGAAUUCUCGGUGUAGCGGUGAAAUGCGUAGAUAUCGAGAGGAACACCUGCGGCGAAAGCGGGUUGCUGGGCUGACACUGACGCUGAGGCGCG
rnacentral:rRNA from 1 species